UGAAACAUCUCAGUACCCUUAGGAAAAGAAAUCAAUUGAGAUUCCCUCAGUAGCGGCGAGCGAACGGGGGUCAGCCCAUUAAGUUAUGUGUGUUUUAGUGGAACGCUCUGGGAAGUGCGAACGUAGAGGGUGAUAUUCCCGUACACGAAAGGGCACACAUAAUGAUGACGAGUAGGGCGAGGCACGUGAAACCUUGUCUGAAUAUGGGGGGACCAUCCUCCAAGGCUAAAUACUCCUGACUGACCGAUAGUGAACCAGUACCGUGAGGGAAAGGCGAAAAGAACCCCUGUGAGGGGAGUGAAAUAGAUCCUGAAACCGCAUGCAUACAAGCAGUGGGAGCACCUUCGUGGUGUGACUGCGUACCUUUUGUAUAAUGGGUCAGCGACUUAUAUUCAGUAGCGAGGUUAACCGUAUAGGGGAGCCGUAGAGAAAUCGAGUCUUAAUAGGGCGUUUAGUUGCUGGGUAUAGACCCGAAACCAGGCGAUCUAUCCAUGAGCAGGUU
rnacentral:rRNA from 1 species